rnacentral:rRNA from 1 species
GCAUAUCAAUAAGCGGAGGAAAAGAAACCAACAGGGAUUGCCCUAGUAACGGCGAGUGAAGCGGCAACAGCUCAAAUUUGAAAUCUGGCUCUCGGGCCCGAGUUGUAAUUUGUAGAGGAUGCUUUUGAUGCGGUGCCUUCCGAGUUCCCUGGAACGGGACGCCAUAGAGGGUGAGAGCCCCGUCUGGUUGGAUGCCAAAUCUCUGUAAAGCUCCUUCGACGAGUCGAGUAGCUUGGGAAUGCUGCUCUAAAUGGGAGGUAUAUGUCUUCUAAAGCUAAAUACCGGCCAGAGACCGAUAGCGCACAAGUAGAGUGAUCGAAAGAUGAAAAGCACUUUGAAAAGAGAGUUAAAAAGUACGUGAAAUUGUUGAAAGGGAAGCGUUUAUGACCAGACUUGGGCUUGGUUAAUCAUCUGGGGUUCUCCCCAGUGCACUUUUCCAGUCCAGGCCAGCAUCAGUUUUCCCCGGGGGACAAAGGCUUCGGGAAUGUGGCUCUCUUCGGGGAGUGUUAUAGCCCGUUGCGUAAUACCCUGGGGGGGACUGAGGUUCGCGCUUCUGCAAGGAUGCUGGCGUAAUGGUCAUCAACGACCCGUCUUGAAACACGGACCAAGGAGUCGUCUUCGUAUGCGAGUGUUCGGGUGUCAAACCCCUACGCGUAAUGAAAGUGAACGCAGGUGAGAGCUUCGGCGCAUCAUCGACCGAUCCUGAUGUUCUCGGAUGGAUUUGAGUAAGAGCAUACGGGGCCGGACCCGAAAGAAGGUGAACUAUGCCUGUAUAGGGUGAAGCCAGAGGAAACUCUGGUGGAGGCUCGCAGCGGUUCUGACGUGCAAAUCGAUCGUCAAAUAUGGGCAUGGGGGCGAAAGACUAAUCGAACCUUUCUAGUAGCUGGUUUCCGCCGAAG